GACAAAUGAUUUCACGGGUUAUUUCGUUUGGAUGUAUUUCUUGUUUUUAUCGAUGACUGGCUUCCUUUUUGUCACGCUUUAGACUGAUGUACGGUCACAUUGGAUUUGAAAACGACAUCCUUUCUUCCAUAGAUACCUGAAAGAAGGCCGCCUUCUGAAUCCAACGAUACCAGUUAUGUGCACAUCGGACCUACGCUUCAAAAGAUACGGACAGGUAAGCUUUGGCCAAUCAGAUCGCAUAUGCUAAUGAGGGUGGAAUUAAUGAGGGUGAAACUCGUUUUUAUCUAUAUACCUAACCCUAACCCUAACCCUUUAAGGGUGAAAAAAAUCAGAGCCUAAAUUUAACCAUCGCAGACCCAGCGUUUAAAAACAUAAUUUUCACUUUUUUAGGCCCAAUGCUUAGACAAGCGCAGCUCCUAGACCGGAGAUGA
rnacentral:lncRNA from 1 species